rnacentral:rRNA from 1 species
GAUGAACGCUGGCGGCGUGCCUAAUACAUGCAAGUCGAGCGAACGGACGAGAAGCUUGCUUCUCUGAUGUUAGCGGCGGACGGGUGAGUAACACGUGGAUAACCUACCUAUAAGACUGGGAUAACUUCGGGAAACCGGAGCUAAUACCGGAUGAUAUUUUGAACCGCAUGGUUCAAAAGUGAAAGGCGGUCUUGCUGUCACUUAUAGAUGGAUCCGCGCUGCAUUAGCUAGUUGGUAAGGUAACGGCUUACCAAGGCAACGAUGCAUAGCCGACCUGAGAGGGUGAUCGGCCACACUGGAACUGAGACACGGUCCAGACUCCUACGGGAGGCAGCAGUAGGGAAUCUUCCGCAAUGGGCGAAAGCCUGACGGAGCAACGCCGCGUGAGUGAUGAAGGUCUUCGGAUCGUAAAACUCUGUUAUUAGGGAAGAACAUAUGUGUAAGUAACUGUGCACAUCUUGACGGUACCUAAUCAGAAAGCCACGGCUAACUACGUG